rnacentral:rRNA from 1 species
AUGGGUCUGCGGCCGAUUAGGUUGUUGUUGGGGUAACGGCCCAACAAGCCUGUAAUCGGUACGGGUUGUGGGAGCAAGAGCCCGGAGAUGGACUCUGAGACACGAAUCCAGGCCCUACGGGGUGCAGCAGGCGCGAGAACUUCACAAUGCACGAAAGUGUGAUAAGGGAAUCCCAAGUGCUUAUGUUUAACAUAGGCUUUUGCCAAGAGUAAAUAUCUUGGCGAAUAAGUGGUGGGUAAGACCGGUGCCAGCAGCCGCGGUAACCCGGGCGCCACGAGUGGCAAUCACGUUUAUUGGGCCUAAAGCGUCCGUAGCCGGUCUUGUAAGUCUUUUGUGAAAUUGUUGCGCUUAACGCAACGGUGUGCAAAAGAUACUGCAAGGCUUGGAAUUGGGAUGGGUCAGAAGUAUUCCUGGGGGAGCGGUAAAAUGUUAUAAUCCCAGGAAGACUACCAGUGGCGAAAGCGUCUGACUAGAACAACUCCGACGGUGAGGGACGAAAGCUAGGGGAGCAAAACGGAUUAGAUACCCGAGUAGUCCUAGCUGUAAACGCUGCGAGUUAGGUGUUGCGUAUUCUUUGUGGAUGUGCGGUGUCGAAGAGAAGUCGUUAAGCUCACCGCCUGGGAAGUACGGUCGCAAGGCUGAAACUUAA